GAUUGAACGCUGGCGGCAUGCUUUCCACAUGCAAGUCGAACGGUAACAGGCCGCAAGGUGCUGACGAGUGGCGAACGGGUGAGUAAUGCAUCGGAACGUGCCCAGUCGUGGGGGAUAACUACUCGAAAGAGUAGCUAAUACCGCAUACGAUCUAUGGAUGAAAGCGGGGGACCGUAAGGCCUCGCGCGAUUGGAGCGGCCGAUGUCAGAUUAGGUAGUUGGUGGGGUAAAGGCUCACCAAGCCAACGAUCUGUAGCUGGUCUGAGAGGACGACCAGCCACACUGGGACUGAGACACGGCCCAGACUCCUACGGGAGGCAGCAGUGGGGAAUUUUGGACAAUGGGCGCAAGCCUGAUCCAGCAAUGCCGCGUGCAGGAAGAAGGCCUUCGGGUUGUAAACUGCUUUUGUACGGAACGAAACGGCUCUGGUUAAUACCCGGGGCUAAUGACGGUACCGUAAGAAUAAGCACCGGCUAACUACGUG
rnacentral:rRNA from 1 species